rnacentral:ncRNA from 1 species
ACUUUUGCUUCUUAACUAUCUCAACUCCAUAACGAUCCAUCAGUCGAAUGGUAUAUUUUAAGUUGCUGAGGUUUACUCCAAAUUGAGUUUCUAAUUGAGUCCAGGAAACACCUGAUUUCUUUAAACUAUAAAUUUCUAAUUUAUCUUCAUAGCUUAAUUUCAUACAAUAACACCCCA